rnacentral:hammerhead_ribozyme from 1 species
GCACUGCCGAGGAGUCCCACAGUAGGACGAAACUGCUGUCCAGUGC